UCUAAGUGCAGUUUUACAUUGUUUGUGUUUAACGUUUAACCGUUCGUCUUAUUUGAAACAUUUUUAUGAUUAGUAUUUUUAUUGCUAUUAAAUGAUAAAACAUUAAUAGUAAUUUAUGUGUGACUAAUUUUUUU
rnacentral:pre_miRNA from 1 species